GAGAGAGAGAGAAUCCCAAGCAGGCUCCAUGCUGUCAGAGCAGAGCCUGACAUGGGACUCAGUCCCACGACCCUGGGAUCAUGACCUGGGCUGAAGUCGGAUGCUUCAGCGACUGAACUACCCAGUUGCCCGUUUAAAACCUGCCUCCUUUGAAACUUGAGAUAUCAACGUGAUCGUAAGCAAAUAGCAGGACGGAGAAGGCUGGUUUCUGAAGUGGGGGACCGAGUGAGGGGUGCAUCCAGAUUUCUGUGUUUCAGAUGAAUCCAGGCACAUUUGGGCUCUUGCAGCUGAUGCACCACCUGCGGGCCGGCCACGACCAGCGUCCCCAGGGCAGCCGUGCGGAAGGCGCGUGGUGUAGCUCCGAUGCCAGGGCCUGCCUCCUUCCAGGGAAGGCUUGGACCUGGCUGCCGCCUUUGCUGAGAAUUCAUCUCUGCUUCCUCGGAGCCUGUGAAUUAGAUUUUUAUUUCUGCAGCCAGAAAAUCAUUCGAAAAUAUAGAAGAUCUGUCUUGUAAUCCUGUUACGUAAAAAGGUUUGCAUUAAAAAAAAAAAUCUCUUGUGGAUGAGUGAGGGUAACAAGCAAUGAAUUAUUUAGAGAAAAAACGCCCCCCCCCACCAAAAAAAAAAAAAAAAGACUCAGAGGCAGUAGGAGCCUUAUGAGAUCGUUGUGCAUAAAUUAAAAUGGGAAGAAGGUGCUGGUGAGGAUGUGCACGCUCAGAGUGGUGUGUAAAAGGCCAUCGCCACCACGAGAUUGGAAAUCUGAGGCACGUGUUGCUUCUCUAGGUUGAGAAUAGUUUGGAUGCAUCACGAGCCUGAAAGUUAAAGGAGUCCUGUCUUCCUGUCGCAUCCUAAGUGUUUGUGGGUGAGGUUUGGUAGCGUUUGUCCACAAAAUAAAUAAAUACACAGGCAAACUUCCGUCGAGAUGCCAUAGCAGCUCCUCUCGGGAGGCAUUUCUCUACACGCUUUGGGGAGGGGGACGGUCUGGUCUUGUUUUUCUCCGGAAUGGAAGUAUUGUCACGUUUGGAGCCUUCCCGAAACCGUAUCCAGCGAAAGUGAAACGGCGAUCCGUCUGCGUCAGCUUCGUAUUUUGUUCCGCAUGCCACAGACGAGCAGGGACAGGUAGGAGCCGAGAGGUUGCACAAUCCCCGGGAAGCAGCACGCGGUGGGUAGCUUGUGGCCACCGGAGGGGGGACCCGGGCUGCCUAGCGAGCCACUGGCCAGGUAGCAGUGGAGCUGUGGUUUGAAGGGACCUCCGUUAAGACAUUAAUAAGUGGGAAAAUGCCUGAAAAAUAGCCAUCCUGUUAUUUUCAAACUGUUACUUUGAACAUUUAUGAUUUGUGUUCAUUGUAGAAUUAUUCAAAGUAGAGAUGGAAAAAAAAAAAAAAACAAAACAACCACAACCCCAGACCUAGCAUUUCAAGAUGCUGUGUGUAGGUCUGGCCCAUGUUACGCGCCAUUUGGUCCCGUCUGCCCGCAUCUCGGGACAGAGGCUCUUGGGAGGUUUUCACACGCAGCGGGUUCGAGUGGAGCCUCUUCGCUGAAUUCCACCUGUCGUCUUUUCCGGUGUGUGGAUGUUUCGUAGUUGGCCUCUUUGUUCAGUAUCCUAAACCGUGUGCUAAAGUGUGCGGCCGAGGGCGUUUUCAUCGUAACUGCGCUGACCUCUCGGUGACGUUGUCCUAGAUGGGUCAUUGUUGUGCCAAGAUUUUCUUCAAUAUAAACGGUGUGUUGUUGCAUUGACUCCAGAAAGUUUGUACCGAUUUACCCUCCGCUGAGGAGAAGGCCCUCCCCCCCCCCCACCAGGCAUUGGGUCGGAAGAGGGGUGGUGGUUUCAGGAGGAGUUAGUGCUUCCACCCUGCAAGCCCCAUGGCGCGGGCAGGUGGCCCCACACACUCAGAUUCCCCCCUCCACCGGAGCCUUCUGUUUCUUAGGUUUCAUUAGAAUGUUGAUUAUGGACUUCGGGCUGACUUCAGGUCUGGAAUUUGAGAGUGACACAGGGACAUGCCCCGAGCCCCCGGGGAAGGUCAGAGCCAGGUGUUGGGGGGAGGAGGCAGAGGGGAGAAGCUGGAGAUGGUCCGUUCAGCUGGUCCGAGAAAGAAGAUGGGCUUCUCAGCAAAGCCCGUCUGCCCAGCUUCCUCCACGAGGGAACUUGGGAAAGAUGCGCGCCUCCCGCCUUCCCUCGUGAGCCUGGGUGUGUGCAGGCACCCUCGGGUUCCUUCUCGUUCCUUCCUUGUCUGCAGGGCCGAUUGUAGCCGAGGGCCGCAAACCACCUCGUUCUCUUGCUUCGGAAUUUUAACUCCGCGCGCGCGGGGAGUGGCUCCACGCCAGCCCUCUGCUGCGGGGAGGGGGGAGUUCCAGCUGCGCUGCAAGAAAGCCUGCGUGUCGCCCUGUCACAGAGCACUGAGCCUUUGUUGUGGGAAGUGGUUAAGUCCUCUCCAGGGAGCGAGCAUUUCUGCAGCGGGUGCCAGGGGUUGCUCUGUGCCGCUGAUCGCAGCGGCUGCAGUUUAGCGGGCACCUACUGUGCGCCAAGAAUUCGGUGUACGUUGGCCUCCUCUUCUAAUGAUCCACCAGAUCCGUGUCAUCGUGUCAUGGUGGGGAUUCAGAAGCUCAGGGGAUGUGAGCCUCACGGAAGGUUCUCCAGCCGGCUGAUCCCCUAAGUGAGGUGCACACAUUCGCAUGAGAGCCUUUGGGACCAUCGUGCAUUUCACCCCCGCAGGCUGACCUGUGACUCAGGGCUGUUGGCAGCAUCUGGAGCAGAGGUGGAGAGGAAGAAGCAGGACAGGCACAGAUCCCGCCUGGGCCUGCCCGGCCGGCCGGGGAGGCAAGGAUCAGCACCCGGGCUUCGGGAAAGCCCAGGGCAGCCCGCCGCCCCACGCCUCUCCUCUGUGCGGAGAUGUUUAAAACAGAAGCCGACGUGCCCGGGGUCGGAAGUUUCUUUGGAAGAAGGGGCGGUAAGUAGAAGUGAGUUAUAAAGUACCCGGGAAGGUAAACUGCACCAUAGUGCUGGAUGGGGCCUGCAAGGGGCAGUUACAUAAA